AAAGAAACCAACAGGGAUUGCCCCAGUAACGGCGAGUGAAGCGGCAAGAGCUCAAAUUUGAAAGCUGGCCCCCGCGGGGUCCGCGUUGUAAUUUGCAGAGGAUGCUUCGGGUGCGGCCCCCGUCUAAGUGCCCUGGAACGGGCCGUCAUAGAGGGUGAGAAUCCCGUCUGGGACGGGGAGUCCGCGCCCGUGUGAAGCUCCUUCGACGAGUCGAGUUGUUUGGGAAUGCAGCUCUAAAUGGGUGGUAAAUUUCAUCUAAAGCUAAAUAUUGGCCGGAGACCGAUAGCGCACAAGUAGAGUGAUCGAAAGAUGAAAAGCACUUUGAAAAGAGAGUGAAACAGCACGUGAAAUUGUUGAAAGGGAAGCGCUUGCGACCAGACUCGCCCGCGGGGUUCAGCCGGCAUUCGUGCCGGUGUACUUCCCCGCGGGCGGGCCAGCGUCGGUUUGGGCGGCCGGUCAAAGGCCCCUGGAAUGUAACGCCUCUCGGGGCGUCUUAUAGCCAGGGGUGCCAUACGGCCAGCCCGGACCGAGGACCGCGCUUCGGCACGGACGCUGGCAUAAUGGUCGUAAGCGAC
rnacentral:rRNA from 1 species